rnacentral:rRNA from 1 species
CCUACGGGAGGCAGCAGUGGGGAAUAUUGCGCACUGGGCGAAAGCCUGACGCAGCGACGCCGCGUGAGGGAUGAAGGUCUUCGGAUCGUAAACCUCUGUCAGCAGGGAAGAACGGUCACUGUGCUAAUCAGCCGUGAAUUGACGGUACCUGCAAAGGAAGCACCGGCUAACUCCGUGCCCGCAGCCGCGGUCAUACGGAGGGUGCGAGCGUUAAUCGGAAUUACUGGGCGUAAAGCGCUCGUAGGCGGUAUGUCAAGUCAAGGGUGAAAUCCCCGCGCUCAACGUGGGAACUGCCUUUGAAACUGGCAAACUGGAGUGUGUGAGAGGAUAGUGGAAUUCCAGGUGUAGGAGUGAAAUCCGUAGAUAUCUGGAGGAACAUCAGUGGCGAAGGCGAUUAUCUGGCACAUAACUGACGCUGAGGAGCGAAAGCGUGGGUAGCAAACAGGAUUAGAUACCCCAGUAGUC